rnacentral:rRNA from 1 species
UACAGAGGGUGCGAGCGUUGUUCGGAAUUAUUGGGCGUAAGGCGCGUAGGUGGCGCGGGAAGUCAACGGUGAAAGCUCAGGGCUCAACCCUGAGUCGGCCGUCGAUACUCCCGGGCUCGAGCACUGUAGAGGCAGGUGGAAUUCCGGGUGUAGCGGUGGAAUGCGCAGAUAUCAGGAGGAACACCGAUAGCGAAGGCAGCUCGCUGGGACGGUACUGACGCUGAGGUGCGAAGCGUGGGAGCGAACAGG